GUCACCGUAUAGUCAGUCAUGCUGAUCAGGAAAGAAACGAUGGGACCGAUCUCCAUUUGACCACCAUCUUCCCACCGGAAGCCCUCUCUGAUUUUCCUGGCUGGGAUGCUGAGCCACUGCCCAUUGCUACAUCAGUGGGUCAUGUCCACCAGCUGUGAGAGCAAAAUAUUCCAGCAGUCCACAGCAGAGUCUAGAGGAUCCAGGAGAUGAAGAACAGACUCCAAAUCUAAUCAGAGGGCCAAAGGGUUUGGUGAUACUCACAUGGCAAGAGGACCAUGCAGUGCCCUAUGGACUUGGAAGAUAAACAAGCAAGGAGGAAACCAGCAAACCUGUUACUCUCCUCUGUGUUCUGGGGCCAUAGUCAUACAUGCAACUCCAUUCUGAACAGUCUGCUGGGCAGGAAUGGAGGUGAGAAGGAGGUGGAAGGAACCGAGUCAUGUCAUCUACACACUGCUGUGUAAGUUUUAAGCUGGACUACUUUCCACUGAUUCAUUCAGGAAUCCUCAGCGAAGUCCUAGGUUAAGAUCACAGACUACAAAAUCCAGCAGGACACAGAUGCUGCCCUUGAAGAUCUGUUCACAUUUUACUGAGGAAAAAAUAAACCCAAGAAGUAAUAGCUAUGGAUUUUGUGAUAAGCAAUAUGUUCAAAAACCAUCAAGGUGCUACAGGGGCAAAAGAUGC